rnacentral:rRNA from 1 species
UACGUAGGGAGCAAGCGUUGUCCGGAAUCAUUGGGCGUAAAGCGCGCGUAGGUGGUCCCGUAAGUCCGCUGUGAAAGUCAAAGGCUCAACCUUUGAAAGCCGGUGGAUACUGUGGGACUAGAGUACGGAAGAGGCGAGUGGAAUUCCUGGUGUAGCGGUGGAAUGCGCAGAUAUCAGGAGGAACACCAAUAGCGAAGGCAGCUCGCUGGGACGUUACUGACGCUGAGACGCGAAAGCGUGGGGAGCGAACAGG